rnacentral:rRNA from 1 species
CCUACGGGAGGCUGCAGUGGGGAAUAUUGCACAAUGGGGGAAACCCUGAUGCAGCGACGCCGCGUGAGUGAAGAAGUAUUUCGGUAUGUAAAGCUCUAUCAGCAGGGAAGAAAUAAAGUCCUUCGGACUUUGGACGGUACCUGACUAAGAAGCCCCGGCUAAUUCCGUGCCAGCAGCCGCGGUAAUACGGAAGGUCCGGGCGUUAUCCGGCUUUAUUGGGUUUAAAGGGAGCGUAGGCCGAAUGGCAAGCGUGCUGUGAAAUGUCCGGGCUCAACCCGGGCCUUGCAGCGCGGACUGGCGUGCUUGAGUCCGCGGAAAGCAGGCGGAAUUCGUCGUGUAGCGGUGAAAUGCUUAGAUAUGACGAAGAACCCCGAUUGCGAAGGCAGCUUGCUGCAGCGGAACUGACGCUGAUGCUCGAAAGCGCGGGUAUCGAACAGGAUUAGAUACCCCGGUAGUC